GACGGAGGGUGCAAGCGUUGUUCGGAUUGACUGGGCGUAAAGGGCGUGUAGGCGGUUGGUCAAGUCUGAUGUGAAAGCCCGGGGCUCAGCCCCGGAAGGGCAUCGGAAACUAGCCAGCUGGAGCGCGAUAGAGGAGGGUGGAAUUCCUGGUGUAGCGGUGAAAUGCGUAGAUAUCAGGAGGAACACCGGCGGCGAAGGCGGCCCUCUGGAUCGUUGCUGACGCUGAGACGCGAAAGCGUGGGGAGCAAACAGGAU
rnacentral:rRNA from 1 species